rnacentral:tRNA from 1 species
GCCCUCGUGGCGUAAUGGAUAGCGCGUCUGACUCCUAAUCAGAAGGUUCCGAGUUCGACUCUCGGCGAGGGUG